ACGGUCAAAUCACGAAAACACCGGUUCUCGUUCGAUCACCGAAGUUAAGCAUCGUAGAGCCAGGUCAAAGAUGGGGGACCGCUUGGGAACACCUGGUACUGUA
rnacentral:rRNA from 1 species